rnacentral:lncRNA from 1 species
GGUCUAUGUCUUCUGGACUAACUAAUGAUGUGGGACUUGAUUUGAAUGAUCCGGUAAAAUAUUAUAUAGAAGCAGUACCAUUAUUAUUAUUAUUUUAUUUUUUUUGAGAGAUAGAUAGCACGCUACCCGUUUCGUUUAUUUUAUUUAGAAAUAAACUUAGCUGAAAAUGUGAAUCAACUAGGAUUCGAACUUGAUCUCAGAUACUAACUACCAAGCCUUUUAGCACUUGCUCUAGGGACGGUGGAUAGUACCAUUUUUAUUGUUAGACAACCUAAUUC